rnacentral:rRNA from 1 species
GAUGAACGCUGGCGGCGUGCCUAAUACAUGCAAGUCGAGCGAACAGACGAGGAGCUUGCUCCUCUGACGUUAGCGGCGGACGGGUGAGUAACACGUGUAUAACCUACCUAUAAGACUGGGAUAACUUCGGGAAACCGGAGCUAAUACCGGAUAAUAUAUUGAACCGCAUGGUUCAAUAGUGAAAGACGGGUUUGCUGUCUCUUAUAGAUGGAUCCGCGCCGCAUUAGCUAGUUGGUAAGGUAACGGCUGACCAAGGCAACGAUGCGUAGCCGACUUGAGAGGGUGAUCGGCCACACUGGAACUGAGACACGGUCCAGACUACUACGGGAGGCAGCAGUGGGGAAUCUUAGACAAUGGGCGAAAGCUUGACGGAGCAACGCCGCGUGAGUGAAGAAGGUCUUCGGAUCGUAAAACUCUGUUAUUAGGGAAGAACAAGUGUGUAAGAAACUAUGCACGUCUUGACGGUACCUGAUCAGAAAGCCACGGCUAACUACGUG